rnacentral:rRNA from 1 species
CUUGAUCUGAGUUAGACCGGGCUCUGCUGAUGAUUUUGUUUAGUUAGCUGAGUGGAAUUACAGGGAAAAGUUUUUUUAAAUUUAAUAAUGAAAGUUAUUUUAAUUUGUGAAGAAACAAUUAUGUAAAUUAAAGACAAGAAGACCCUAAGAAUUUGUGAAUUUUUAAUUUUGUAUAAAUUGUUUAUGUAAAUAAAAUUCUUAAUUGGGGCAAUUAAAAAAUAUAUUAAACAUUUUUUAUAUAAAAUGAUCCAUUAUUAAUGAUUAUAUGAUAAAAAUACUCUAGGGAUAACAGCGUAAUAAUUUUUGAUAGAUCUUAUAGACAAAAUAGUUUGCGACCUCGAUGUUGGAUUAGGAUACUUCUUUAAUGGAGAUGUUAAAGAAAGAAGUUUGUUCAACUUUUAAAUUCCUACUUGAUCUGAGUUCAGACCGG